rnacentral:rRNA from 1 species
AGAGUUUGAUCCUGGCUCAGAUUGAACGCUGGCGGCAUGCCUUACACAUGCAAGUCGAACGGCAGCACGGGAGCAAUCCUGGUGGCGAGUGGCGAACGGGUGAGUAAUAUAUCGGAACGUGCCCAGUAGUAGGGGAUAGCCCGGCGAAAGCCGGAUUAAUACCGCAUACGACCUACGGGUGAAAGCGGGGGAUCGCAAGACCUCGCGCUAUUGGAGCGGCCGAUAUCAGAUUAGCUUGUUGGUGGGGUAAAAGCCUACCAAGGCGACGAUCUGUAGCUGGUCUGAGAGGACGACCAGCCACACUGGGACUGAGACACGGCCCAGACUCCUACGGGAGGCAGCAGUGGGGAAUUUUGGACAAUGGGCGCAAGCCUGAUCCAGCCAUGCCGCGUGCGGGAAGAAGGCCUUCGGGUUGUAAACCGCUUUUGUCAGGGAAGAAACGGUUCCUACUAAUAUUGGGAACUAAUGACGGUACCUGAAGAAUAAGCACCGGCUAACUACGUGCCAGCAGCCGCGGUAAUACGUAGGGUGCAAGCGUUAAUCGGAAUUACUGGGCGUAAAGCGUGCGCAGGCGGCUUUGCAAAGACAGAUGUGAAAUCCCCGGGCUCAACCUGGGAACUGCAUUUGUGACUGCAUGGCUAGAGUACGGUAGAGGGGGAUGGAAUUCCGCGUGUAGCAGUGAAAAUGCGUAGAUAUGCGGAGGAACACCGAUGGCGAAAGGCAAUCCCCCUGGACCUGACUGACGCUCAUGCACGAAAAGCGUGGGGAAGGCAAACAGGAUUAGAUACCCUGGGUAG